rnacentral:rRNA from 1 species
AUUCCAGCUCCAAUAGCGUAUAUUAAAGUUGUUGCGGUUAAAAAGCUCGUAGUUGGAUUUCUGCCGAGGAUGACCGGUCCGCCCUGUGGGUGUGCAUCUGGCUCAGCCUUGGCAUCUUCCUGAAGAACGUAGCUGCACUUGACUGUGUGGUGCGGUAUUUAGGACAUUUACUUUGAGGAAAUUAGAGUGUUUCAAGCAAGCGCACGCUUUGAAUACAUUAGCAUGGAAUAAUAAGAUAGGAUCUUGAUACUAUUUUGUUGGUUUGCGUGUCGAGAUAAUGAUGAAUAGGGACAGUUGGGGGUAUUUGUAUUCCAUAGUCAGAGGUGAAAUUCUUGGAUUUGUGGAAGACAAACUAAUGCGAAAGCAUCUACCAAGGAUGUUUUCAUCA